GAACCAGACCGCUCUGCCUCCCGCAGCUCCACCCUGCCCGAGCUCCCCUCACCCCCGCAAGCCGCCUCGCCGGCGACCCCACACCUCCGCCGCGCCCCGCCGCUGGAGCUCCGGCCGCUCCGCCGCCUCGCCCCUCUCCUCCUUCCUCUUGAUCUCCUCUCAUCUCUGUCUCUCUUUCUCGCUGAACAGGGACCUCCAGGAGGGCCAUGGCGCCACCAGCCUUCAAUCUCGCCGGAUCCGGCCGCCUGCACGCCAAGUCCGCCGGAAAUGGAUCCGUCCCGUCCAGAUCCGGCCGGAUCCGACCGAGCCCCGCCAUCCUCGCCACUGGAGCACCUCCCCGCUCGACCAACAGCGCCGGCGCUGUCUGUCCCUGCCCGCGUCUGCACGAGGACGACGCUCAUCCUGCUGGCUUGCAGCACUCGUAUGGGCCGCCGCCCCAGCCGUCCCGGCAUCAAGCUAAGGCCCAUCCCAAGCCACAUCUUCUGCCGCUCCGUCACCGCCCACCUUGAGAUCAGCCCCGACGCCACCACCAUCUUCAGAUGCGUAUGCACACUACUUCCUUCUUCAAAUUGCUUCACCACAUCAUGCUGAAUUUGCAAAUGGCAGCUCCUUACAUGUGUGAUCGAGAAGCAAGGUCAAGUAUGAGCAGGCUGUCAGCGUGCAGUGGUCGGAGAUGCCGUCGCAACUUACAUGUCGCAUCCGUCGGCUCCAUGCUAAGAUUACGAGGCUCUAUGUCUGUAUCGUGGUGUUCCAGUAGUAAACUUUCAGGCUGGUUAUAUAGGGGAUGGAGAUGAUGUAUACUACCUAACAGCCAUCGAGUAAUAAAAGGAGAUGGAUUGAACUACAUGAUUUAUGCCAUGGGAAUGAUGAAAAAUCUUUGGGUGAGGAUGUUGAAUAAUUCAGUCCUGAUCAAUGGCUUCUCAUAGAAGUCUUCCUGCCAGCAAGAGAGCCCUUACAGAUUUAUAGCUUUUAGUGUAAUUAUUACAGAGAAGACAUGCUUAGAUGGCCUAUAAUUUUACUAAGUGAACGUGUACUGAUCUCUACAUGCUUUUUAUUAGAGAAUCGCUUUCAUGUUUUACUAAGAUCUGUGCGGAAACAACAUGAGCCUUUGCUGCUUGGUCUGGGAUGGUGAAGUGUUGGUUGCAGUGGAAAUCAUUAAAGGGGGCACCGGUGUCUUCAGUUCUACGGUUACAGAAUAUAUGGAGUCAUGCCCAACGUUGCAAGGGAGCCUGUAGUGGGAGGCGACAAAGUAUUGGUUGUUGCCAUAGUAUCCAUAAUGAAUUGUGUCAACACCAACCUCAGAGCUGGAACAAGGAGUGCGCAUUCGCAUUGAUAAAACAAGUUUCCCAUAGCCCGCUGCUACUGCCCACUACCACAAUCUAGCAUAGAUACUUGUGAGCACGUGAGAACAUCUGUAGGCUAAUAAACAGUACAAACACCAGGCUUAGUUUCGGAGUACAUAUAUUGCAUCGACUGGUAUGACGUCUGAAUAUAUAUCUGACUAGAGCCAUCAUAUGGACAAGUAAAUCUUUGUAGCAGUCUGUUGGAUAAUUAUUGGAGAUGAUGCACUCUGAUGGACAGAUACAGAAAUCCAUUGUUAUUUUCAGGUGAAAAUCUUGCACAUAUCUAUGUUGAAACCAGCCAUUGAUGUCCCCAAAAUUCACUAUACCAAGUACAACAAUAUAUAUUCAUUAGGGGGGGCAUUAUUUUGAUCCUGCUUUUCAUGGAGAGCAUGCCUCUGUAUUCAUUUACCAAAUCUGCUUAUGUACAAUUCUUCGCACGUAGUACAGUUGUGCCCAUAAAAUUCAGUUCUUCGAUUGGAUUAUGUAAAAUGGGAUGAUCAACCAAAUAACAUUGGACCAAGUGGCUUAUGUUGAGUGUAUCGGUAAGGUAGAUGCCUAUAUUAAUUCAUACAAAGAUCAUUACUGAUAAUGAUAUGAUUGGUAAUACAUUCAUGACUACUCUAUGUUGCCUUGGCACAUGCAAGCCAUGCUAUAGAAACCGAAACUUGCAAAACAGAGUGAAGUAAAUUACUUUGAAUUGUUAGACACAAUCAAGAUCAUCACCAAGAGUCGUCAAAGAACAUAGAAAAUAGUAAAAUUAGUGUUAUUUAAAUUUGGCCUUAUUUUGCUAUAAGCAAUAAAAAUCAAGCAUACAAUAGUUGUCUAGUGAUAAUUCUUUGGUAUUUCUAAGGCCGGCAGUGGCACGGGAGGUGUCGUUGGUGCCACGGGCUAGACACAAACUUGAUUAGAUUGCUACUGCAUUGCUGAUCUGUACCUCUAGGAAUGUUUUGCUGAUCAUGUCAACCUACAGGCUAGCAAUUUGAAGAGACAGUUGCACAGAUAUUGGCAUAUACAGUCCCGUAGAUUCCGCCAGUGAACAUAUAAAAACAGCAUGUCCGUGAAUCUAAAUAAACUAUAGCAGUGAAUUAUUGAUGAUGUAUAACCUCAUUUGCAUCUAGCUUUCAUCCAGCAUUUUUUAUUUAUUUUAUCAAACAUCUUUGUAAGCAUCUGUUGGGCCAGCCCAAGUAGACAGAACAAUAUAAUAGUGUAAAAGACACCGUGCUCAUAUUAUGAUAUGGUGUUAGGUUUACUUGCCUACAAGUUUGGUUCCACUUGGUACGGACACCAUGCUCUGCUAUCAGCGUAUUUGUAGUAUCAGGGUAUUGUUACUACCUUGAAUGCUGAAUUUAAGGUUGACUGAUCAUGUAUUAGUCUGACUCCCUUCUGAAUUAUGAGGUCAUCCCAUGGUUGUCCACUAAUCUGGUGUUUGGUCCAUCUUCUUACCCUUGCAAUUUUAGCAUCAUCUGUCCAAUCUUGCCCUGACUGUGUACAGACUGUUGAAUACUUCAAACAAUGAGCAAUUUGAAGUUAAGAAAUAUGACAAAUAUCUAAAAAUGGAUUCGUUUUUGGAGAAAUGACAUUGUGUAGAGUGGAAAUGCAGAACUAUAUGUUCCUAUUUCACCAACUGGUAUUGAAUAUGUGGUCAAUCUUCGUAGAAAAAACUACAAUGUCUAAACAUUAGUGUGUGAUACAUAUGGAAAAUUGUGAUGUCUAUUUUUUUGAAAUAUUUUUACUUUAGAAAAAGUUUUAAACAGGGCAUUGCAUUAGGUUACAUAUUUUUGGCCAAGACGCUCCAUGAGGCGAUGGCACAUAGCCGGCAAGGUGACGUUCUAAAGCGCACCAGCCCGCAACUGAGGCGGCGCCCACGGCGCAGCCGUGGCCUUUGGAACGCACCGCGGGGGCAGUGCUACCGGCCACCAGCGCUGCUCCUCCCAGACGGUGGUGCCCAUGGCCGUGGUCCACUGGCCCCAGCCGGGCUCCCUGCGGAGGCGCGCGGGUGGCGGCCUCUGACUUGAAGUCUUCUUGAGAUUUGUACGCCGAUUGCUUGGUCGUCUCUUUGUGCUGUCACUACGUGUACUGAAGAUUAGUUACUUCGUUUUGACUUGGAGCGAGGUGCAAUGGUUUCAGGUUGCUGAUGCUGAUAUUUUCAUGUGAUGUUUGAAUGAUUGUGUGACCAAGCGUAGUUGGGCUUCUAACAAUGUAUUGGCCUUCCUUUGCUGCACCAAAGUUAGUGAAUUGUUCACCAUGCUUGACUUUGUUCUUAGCAGGGAAAUUUGUGGUGAUUCGUAAUCAAACUUGCAAAGAACAUCCUUACUUCUGAUUAUGUUUGAAGAGGUACGAUGGAUGGUUGAGCUGAGACCACUGUUUGAUAUUUGUUUGCCUUUGCUUUGUAACCAGUGAGGGCUGAAGUGAAUGAAUCUGGAAGUGCUUUAGCGAUUAAUGCUCUGUCCCAAGUUAAGCAUAUUCUACUUCCGGUCACUGGCCGCAAGCCUUAACUUUCAGUUCUAAUUCCUUGAGAUCAGCGCAGUUGUGAAUAUAGCCAUUGUUUCAACAGAACAAACCUAAGCUUAGCAUGAAAGAGAGUAUGAAAGUUCUGAUCUCUUCAAAAUAUGUGAGGGACCUUGCUACCUUAGUUGUUGCAUAUGGCAUUAGAAUCAAUUUUGUGUAAGUCACAUGGAAAUCGAAGCUCAAGGCACAGUUUCCCAGUCCAAACGAGCACUCAUCUUUCAUGGGUGAUUUCUCUACCGCAACUGGAUUUGCAACUUUCAUGAUGAUGCUGUUAGGCUGGAUUAUAUUCCAAAGAUUUGGUUGGGGGUGGCUUCCAUGAUCACCCCCAUAGUUUUGUGGUGACUGGCGUUGGUUUCUUCUCUGACUUUCAACAAUUGCAGUUCAUUGCCGCAGAGCAGUCUUAGAAGAUCAGUGCACAUGUAGCCUUAUUUCUGAGUCCAAAUUUCAUCGUACAAAAAGAAAUACUCAGUGUAACCUCAUUUCUGAUGUUUGCAAAAAAUAGAUUAUAAAAAUGUUGCAUAAUGGCACGUGAAGCAGGUUACAUUUCAUUUUUUGCCCGGUGCAACGCAUAGGCAUUUGUACUAGUGUGUAUCAAAACAUAGAUGUA